rnacentral:rRNA from 1 species
UACGGAGGGGGCGAGCGUUAUUCGGAAUUAUUGGGCGUAAAGGGCGCGUAGGCGGCUCGAUAAGUCAAAGGUGAAAUCCCUCAGCUCAACUGAGGAACUGCCUUUGAAACUGUCGAGCUUGAGUCCGGGAGGGGGUAGCGGAAUUCCCAGUGUAGCGGUGAAAUGCGUAGAUAUUGGGAGGAACACCAGUGGCGAAGGCGGGUCUCUGGGCAGUAACUGACGCUGAGGAGCGAAAGCGUGGGGAGCGAACAGG